UACAGAGGUGGCAAGCGUUGUUCGGAAUUACUGGGCGGAAAGGGCGCGUAGGUGGCCUUCUUAGUCAGACGUGAAAUCCCCAGGCUUAACCUGGGAACUGCGUCUGAUACUGGAAGGCUCGAGUUCGGGAGAGGAAUGUGGAAUUCCAGGUGUAGCGGUGAAAUGCGUAGAUAUCUGGAGGAACACCGGUGGCGAAGGCGGCAUUCUGGACCGAAACUGACGCUGAGGCGCGAAAGCCAGGGGAGCAAACGGG
rnacentral:rRNA from 1 species